UACAGAGGGGCAAGCGUUGUUCGGAAUUACUGGGCGUAAAGGGCGCGUAGGCGGCCUGUUAAGUCGAACGUGAAAUCCCCGGGCUCAACCCGGGAACUGCGUCCGAUACUGGCAGGCUUGAAUCCGGGAGAGGGAUGCGGAAUUCCAGGUGUAGCGGUGAAAUGCGUAGAUAUCUGGAGGAACACCGGUGGCGAAGGCGGCAUCCUGGACCGGCAUUGACGCUGAGGCGCGAAAGCGUGGGGAGCAAACAGG
rnacentral:rRNA from 1 species